rnacentral:lncRNA from 1 species
CUUAUUUAUGUUAUUUUUUCUUGUCAUACGAAAAUUGAUUCCUGAGUGAAAUAAUAUAGGUACUCUACAAUGUUAGCGGAAAAUUUAGGUGACUCGUACAAACCUCUGCAACAGUAUUCAUUCAGGGUCAAAUGAGUAGUCGCUUAAAUGAAGAAGGGGAAGGGGGCAACUGUGAGUUUGCAGAAGUCGACGGUGGUAAGUAAACUACUUCAGUUUGAUUUUAUUAUCAUGGAGCUUGAAAAGACAUUUAUACAUUCUCAUCAAGAUCAUGCAAUAUACAUGUUACAGGACGUCAGUCAGAUCUUCCAGACAUUGAUGAAGAUUAUGGCGUAAAAUCUGAUGAUGAGACCG